AUAAUUGUUUGGUAACCAGCAAUACAUUUAGAACCUAUCUUUUCGGCUAUGCAUUAUUAACCAAUUAAUACAAAUUAGCAUAGCAUCACAAAAUUAUGAUAUCUAACUUUUUGAAUAAUUCCUGCCUGUUAUUCAACUACAGGUAACUAAUAGAGAUAAGUCUAAUAAUGUUAAUAUAUCUGUAUUACAACGUGAAUAUUCUAAAUUACAGGCAAUUACACAAUUGCCUUUGUAAAGCUAACCACAAGUGUAUUGAUAUCCUUUAUAAAGGAUAAUCAAUUUAACAAUUGACAAAGUGCAUAUCAAGAC